rnacentral:lncRNA from 1 species
CUUCUUCUCCCCUGAGUUCCUGUACACUUUCCUGUUUCGCUACUGUAAGAAAAUUUCAGCACUGAGCUAACUCCUGGAGUUUCAGCCCAUCAGGAAAGCACCAGAACGUGUUACUCCGGAAGCCAAGUAGGCUGGAGAGUGUUAAUAAUACACGCUCACAAAGGUAACUGGCAA